rnacentral:rRNA from 1 species
GACGAACGCUGGCGGCGUGCUUAACACAUGCAAGUCGAACGGAAAGGCCCUGCUUUUGUGGGGUGCUCGAGUGGCGAACGGGUGAGUAACACGGGAGUAAUCUGCCCUUGUCUUUGUGAUAACUUCAGGAAACUGGGGCUAAUACCGGAUAGGAGCUCCUGCUGCAUGGUGGGGGUUGGAAAGUUUCGGCGGUUGGGGAUGGACUCGCGGCUUAUCAGCUUGUUGGUGGGGUAGUGGCUUACCAAGGCUUUGACGGGUAGCCGGCCUGAGAGGGUGACCGGCCACAUUGGGACUGAGAUACGGACCAGACUCCUACGGGAGGCAGCAGUGGGGAAUAUUGCACAAUGGGCGGAAGCCUGAUGCAGCAACGCCGCGUGCGGGAUGACGGCCUUCGGGUUGUAAACCGCUUUCGCCUGUGACGAAGCGUGAGUGACGGUAAUGGGUAAAGAAGCACCGGCUAACUACGUG